CCCUAAUGCUAAUUGCAUGGAAAAGCUCAGUUGACGGGUUUAAAACCCUAAUGCUGGCUAAAUGGAAAAAAGUUCAGUUUAGGGUUUAAAACCCUAAUGCUGAUUGCAUGGAAAAGCUCAAUUUAGGGUUUAAAACCCUAAUGCUGGCUAAAGGAAAAAAGUUCAGUUUAGGGUUUAAAACCCUAAUGCUGGCUGAAUGGAAAAAAGUUCAGUUUAGGGUUUAAAACCCUAAUGCUGACUAAAGGAAGAAGUUCAGUUUAGGGUUUAAAACCCUAAUGCUGAUUGCAUGAAAAAGCUCAGUUUAGGGUUUAAAACCCUAAUGAUGGCUAAAUGGAAAAAAGUUCAUUUUUAGCGUUUAAAACCCUAAUGCUGACUAAAGGAAGAAGUUCAGUUUAGGGUUUAAAACCCUAAGGCUGAUUGCAUGGAAAAGCUCAGUUUAGGGUUUAAAACCCUAAUGCUGGCUAAAUGGAAAAAAGUUCAGUUUAGGGAUUAAACCCUAAUGCUGAUUAAAGGAAAAAGUUCAGUUUAGGUUUUAAAACCCUAAUGCUGACUGAAUGGAAAAAAGUUCAGUUUAGGGUUUAAAACACUAAUGCUGACUAAAGGAAAAAUUCAGUUUAGGGUUUAAAACCCUAAUGAUGAUUGCAUGGAAAAGCUUAGUUUAGGGUUUAAAACCCUAAUGCUGGCUGAAUGGAAAAAAGUUCAGUUUAGGGUUUAAAACCCUAAUGCUGAUUGCAGGAAAAAGUUCAGUUUAGGGUUUAAAACCCUAAUGCUGACUAAAGGAAAAGUUCAGUUUAGGGUUUAAAACCCUAAUGCUGACUGAAAGGAAAGAGUUCAGUUUAGGGUUUAAAACCCUAAUGCUGAUUGCAUGGAAAAGCUCAGUUUAGGUUUAAAACCCUAAUGCUGACUAAAUGGAAAAGUUCAGUUUAGGGUUUAAAACCCUAAUGCUAACUGAAAGGAAAAGUUCAGUUUAGGGUUUAAAACCCUAAUGCUGACUGAAUGGAAAAAGUUCAGUUUAGGGUUUAAAACCCUAAUGCUGACUAAAUGGAAAAAGUUCAGUUUAGGGUUUAAAACCCUAAUGCUGACUAAAUGGAAAAGUUCAGUUUAGGGUUUUAAAACCCUAAUGCUGACUAAAGGAUAGAGUUCAGUUUAGGGUUUAAAACCCUAAUGCUGACUGAAUGGAAAAAGUUCAGUUUAGGGUUUAAAACCCUAAUGCUGACUAAAUGGAAAAAGUUCAAUUUAGGGUUUAAAACCCUAAUGCUGACUAAAGGAAAGAGUUCAGUUUAGGGUUUAAAACCCUAAUGCUGACUAAAGGGAGAGUUCAGUUUAGGGUUUAAAACCCUAAUGCUGACUAAAGGAUAGAGUUCAGUUUAGGGUUUAAAAUCCUAAUGCUGACUGAAUGGAAAAAGUCUACGUUAGGGUUAAACCCUAAUGCUGACUGAAUGGAAAAGUUCAAUUAGGGUUUAAAACCCUAAUGCUGA
rnacentral:lncRNA from 1 species